rnacentral:lncRNA from 1 species
AACCAUCUAGUUUUCAGCGUCGAAUCAAGUAAGGACUCCUCACUCUAUUUAUUAUCAUGGAAUUAAAGUUCAAAUAAAUAAUAAUACGGUCCUUUGUACAAAUUAAAUAGAUGUGCUUGAUUAAUUAUGGAUUGUUAAUGGAGCCCAAAUCGGACAUCGUUUUCUGUCGAUUACUGUUGAUUUAUUGUACAGUUUAAAAGCAUGAUGAUAUCUGGUUUAUAUAUUGUAUGGUUUAAAUGCAUGUAUUACUGUCUUACUUGACUACUGUUUGAUUUUGGGAAUCUAAGAUAUGAUUGCAUUGUUGGAUGCAUGUUACUUAUUUAUGUAUUUAUGUUUGAUUUGGUGACGGAGACUAAGGACAAAUAGGAAUGAGAUGUGAUCUGAUAAAUGGAUAAGAUGACAGCCUCACUAGAUAUAUUGGGAGAUGGUGGACGGACCAGGUUCAUAGGAAACCCUACCGUGAAUGUUGUCUCAUACCGGACGGGGUAUGAAGACUUGGUCAUUUGGCGCUCAUACCGAACGAGGUAUGGGGACGAUCCGCUUCACCCUCAUACUGGAUGGGAU